rnacentral:misc_RNA from 1 species
GAACUGCGAUAAGUAAUGUGAAUUGCAGAAUUCAGUGAAUCAUCGAGUCUUUGAACGCACAUUGCGCCCCCUGGCAUUCCGGGGGGCAUGCCUGUCCGAGCGUCAUUGCUGCCCUUCAAGCCCGGCUUGUGUGUUGGGUCGUCGUCCCCUCCGGGGGACGGGCCCGAAAGGCAGCGGCGGCACCGCGUCCGGUCCUCGAGCGUAUGGGGCUUUGUCACCCGCUCGAUAAGGACCGGCCGGGCGCCAGCCGGCGUCUCCAACCUUUUUUUCUCAGGUUGACCUCGGAUCAGGUAGGGAUACCCGCUGUACUUAAGC